rnacentral:rRNA from 1 species
CACGUAGGGCGCAAGCGUUGUCCGGAAUUAUUGGGCGUAAAGAGCUCGUAGGCGGUCUGUUGCGUCCGCUGUGAAAACCCGGGGCUUAACCCUGGGCUGGCAGUGGAUACGGACAGACUAGAGGUAGGUAGGGGAGAAUGGAAUUCCCGGUGUAGCGGUGAAAUGCGCAGAUAUCGGGAGGAACACCAAUUGCGAAGGCAGCUCGCUGGGACGUUACUGACGCUGAGACGCGAAAGCGUGGGGAGCAAACAGG